rnacentral:lncRNA from 1 species
CAGGAAGCCAUCACACUCCUUCCCACUGUGGUUUUGGGAGCAUGAAGGCGUUGCUUAUCCCCUAUGUCUGGUUCACUGUAUGUAGGCUGGGAGUGUCUGCUGAUCACUUGGAGUGCUGUCCCUUGGAACAGGAGGAGUAAGAUUGAGCACCCCUGCAGUGGACCAUGAGUCGGUAAUGCCCACUGAGGACCUCUGGGAGCCAUGUCAGACGAAUCUGCCUCAGGGAGCGAUCCAGACCUGGACCCGGACGUGGAGCUGGAGGAUGCGGAAGAGGAGGAGGAGGAGGAGGAGGUGGCAGUGGAGGAGUGUGACAGGGAUGAUGAAGAAGACCUGCUGGAUGGUAAGUGGGCUC